rnacentral:tRNA from 1 species
GAGGGUAUAGUUCAACUGGUAGAGCACAUGCUCAACAUGCACAAGGUCCUGGGUUCAAUCCCCAGUACCUUCU